UACGGGGGGGGGCAAGCGUUGUUCGGAAUUACUGGGCGUAAAGGGCGCGUAGGCGGUCCGCUAAGUUAGAUGUGAAAACUCUGGGCUCAACCCAGAGCCUGCAUCUAAUACUGUCGGGCUAGAGUCCGGAAGAGGCGAGUGGAAUUCCUGGUGUAGCGGUGAAAUGCGCAGAUAUCAGGAGGAACACCAAUGGCGAAGGCAGCUCGCUGGGACGGUACUGACGCUGAGACGCGAAAGCGUGGGGAGCAAACAGG
rnacentral:rRNA from 1 species